rnacentral:snRNA from 1 species
GUGCUUACUUGGACAGCACAUAUACUAAAAUUGGAUUGAUACAGAGAAGAUUUGCAUGGCCCUUGUGCAAAUAUGUGAAGCAUUCCAUAUUUUU